CGGAGAAGGCUAUGUUGGCCGGGCGACGGUUGUCCCGGUUUAAGCGUGUAGGUGUGUGUUCCAGGUAAAUCCGGUUCACUUUAACACUGAGGCGUGACGACGAGGCACUACGGUGCUGAAGCAACAAAUGCCCUGCUUCCAGGAAAAGCCUCUAAGCAUCAGGUAACAUCAAAUCGUACCCCAAACCGACACAGGUGGUCAGGUAGAGAAUACCAAGGCGCUUGAGAGAACUCGGGUGAAGGAACUAGGCAAAAUGGUGCCGUAACUUCGGGAGAAGGCACGCUGACACGUAGGUGAAGUGAUUUACUCAUGGAGCUGAAGUCAGUCGAAGAUACCAGCUGGCUGCAACUGUUUAUUAAAAACACAGCACUGUGCAAACACGAAAGUGGACGUAUACGGUGUGACGCCUGCCCGGUGCCGGAAGGUUAAUUGAUGGGGUCAGCGCAAGCGAAGCUCCUGAUCGAAGCCCCGGUAAACGGCGGCCGUAACUAUAACGGUCCUAAGGUAGCGAAAUUCCUUGUCGGGUAAGUUCCGACCUGCACGAAUGGCGUAAUGAUGGCCAGGCUGUCUCCACCCGAGACUCAGUGAAAUUGAACUCGCUGUGAAGAUGCAGUGUACCCGCGGCAAGACGGAAAGACCCCGUGAACCUUUACUAUAGCUUGACACUGAACAUUGAGCCUUGAUGUGUAGGAUAGGUGGGAGGCUUUGAAGUGUGGACGCCAGUCUGCAUGGAGCCGACCUUGAAAUACCACCCUUUAAUGUUUGAUGUUCUAACGUGGACCCGUAAUCCGGGUUGCGGACAGUGUCUGGUGGGUAGUUUGACUGGGGCGGUCUCCUCCUAAAGAGUAACGGAGGAGCACGAAGGUUGGCUAAUCCUGGUCGGACAUCAGGAGGUUAGUGCAAUGGCAUAAGCCAGCUUGACUGCGAGCGUGACGGCGCGAGCAGGUGCGAAAGCAGGUCAUAGUGAUCCGGUGGUUCUGAAUGGAAGGGCCAUCGCUCAACGGAUAAAAGGUACUCCGGGGAUAACAGGCUGAUACCGCCCAAGAGUUCAUAUCGACGGCGGUGUUUGGCACCUCGAUGUCGGCUCAUCACAUCCUGGGGCUGAAGUAGGUCCCAAGGGUAUGGCUGUUCGCCAUUUAAAGUGGUACGCGAGCUGGGUUUAGAACGUCGUGAGACAGUUCGGUCCCUAUCUGCCGUGGGCGCUGGAGAACUGAGGGGGGCUGCUCCUAGUACGAGAGGACCGGAGUGGACGCAUCACUGGUGUUCGGGUUGUCAUGCCAAUGGCACUGCCCGGUAGCUAAAUGCGGAAGAGAUAAGUGCUGAAAGCAUCUAAGCACGAAACUUGCCCCGA
rnacentral:rRNA from 1 species